GACGAACGCUGGCGGCGUGCCUAACACAUGCAAGUUGAGCGACGAACCAGGGCUUGCCCUGGGGCAAAGCAGCGAACGGGUGAGUAACACGUGGGUAACCUACCCCGAUAACCGGGACAACCCGAGGAAACCCGGGCUAAUACCGGAUGUGCUCACUGGACUUCGGUUCAGUGCGUAAAGGAAGCUUCGGCCUCCGUAUCGGGAGGGGCCCGCGGCCCAUUAGUUUGUUGGUGAGGUAACGGCCCACCAAGACCGCGAUGGGUAGCUGGUCUGAGAGGACGAUCAGCCACACUGGGACUGAGACACGGCCCAGACUCCUACGGGAGGCAGCAGUGGGGAAUCUUGCGCAAUGCGCGAAAGCGUGACGCAGCAACGCCGCGUGGGGGAAGAAGGCCUUCGGGUUGUAAACCCCUUUCAGGAGGGACGAAGGUUCGGCGGUGAAUAGCCGUCCGGACUGACGGUACCUCCACAAGAAGCCCCGGCUAACUACGUG
rnacentral:rRNA from 1 species